rnacentral:rRNA from 1 species
UACGUAGGGAGGCAAGCGUUGUUCCGGAAUUACUAGGGGUGUAAACGCGUGUAGGCGGCAGGCCAAGUCUGUGGUAGAAAUCGCUCGGCUCAACUGGGCGGGGUCCAUUGGAAACUGGUCAGCUGGAGGACGGUAGAGGUGAGUGAAUUCCCGGUGUAGUGGUGAAAUGCGUAGAGAUCGGGAGGAACACCCGUGGCGAAGGCGGCUACACGUC